ACAAAACUAUAUAAUUUUAAAUAAAAUUAGAUAAUUCAAAAUAAUAUAUAUAAUUUUAAAUAAAAUUAUGUAACUUUAAUCUACUAAACUAAAAAAAAAAAAAACAUAUAAUUUUAAAUAACACUAAUUAGUUUUGAUAUUUGGUCAUAGCCUAAAACAAAUAAACCAUAAUUCUAUUAUCUUCUUCUCAUCUCAAAUUCACAUCAAUUCAACCCUCCCAAAGCCUCCUCCACCCACCCUCUUCUUCACGCCGUCGUUAGGCUAUUGCUGCUGCCAUUCACUCUAUUGAUGCUGCCGUUCACUCUAUUGAUGCUGCCGUUCACUCCACCGCUUCUGCGAUGCAAGCAGCCGCUGCUGCCGUCGUUGUCAGCCGCUGCUCCGUCUCAGGCGUCAAUCUUGAUAGCUCUUCUGGAAAUACUUCGGGAAACUCGAAGACCACCGGAACGUCCUUAACUCUAUCUUUUUCUACCCAGGUAUUUGUGACUAAUGCCAAAUAUUCCUGACACCCAUGGCGAAGCAUCUGUCUAGCCGUAAUGGCUGACACAAGAUUCGACGGGUAGGUAUCUGCUCGCCUUUAAAAUAAAACUCUAAGUCUCUCGAAAUUUAAAAAGUUCCUUUGCUUUU